rnacentral:misc_RNA from 1 species
GUGAAUCAUCGAAUUUUUGAACGCAAAUUGCGCCUUUUUCGGAAGGCAUGUUUGUUUGAGGGCACCAUUUAACAAAUAAUGUGCAGAGUUGUGUGUAUAUAUGACGUGCACACGCUGAUGAGCUUUCCACGACUCUUAUAUAUUUGGUGGCGCAUAAUGAACAGCGAGAAAGUUUUUUUCAGUUCGUGUGUAGUCAAAUCUUUGCUUGGGUUGUGAAACAACCUAAUCG